rnacentral:tRNA from 1 species
GUCACUUUGCCGGAGUGGUUAACGGGAUCGCCUGCUAUUCUUUAGCUGCUAGCGGUUGGGCUUUGCCCGCGAGUGUUCGAAUCGCUCAGGUGACG